CCUACGGGAGGCUGCAGUGGGGAAUAUUCCACAAUGGGGGAAACCCUGAUGCAGCGACGCCGCGUGAGCGAAGAAGUAUUUCGGUAUGUAAAGCUCUAUCAGCAGGGAAGAAAUAGCGACCUUUGGGUCGCCAGACGGUACCUGCCUAAGAAGCACCGGCUAACUACGUGCCAGCAGCCGCGGUAAUACGGAGGAUGCGAGCGUUAUCCGGAUUUAGUGGGUGUAAAGGGUGCGUAGGUGGAAGAUUAAGUCAGCGGUAAAAUGUCGGUGCUCAACAAAGGAAUGCAGUAGAAACUGGUAAUCUAGAGUAUGCCAGAAGUAAGUGGAACGAGAGGUGUAGCGGUAAAAUGCAUAGAUAUAACUCAGAACUCCGAUUGCGAAGGCAGCAUACCGGCGCCAGACUGACGCUGAGGCACGAAAGCGUGGGGAUCGAACAGGAUUAGAUACCCGUGUAGUC
rnacentral:rRNA from 1 species